rnacentral:miRNA from 1 species
CCUGCGGCUGGGGAGGGAGGGAGAGGACCCGGCGGAGCUCUAUCUUGUAGCUCCGCCCGGUUCCUCUCCCUCCCUCCCCAGCCGCAGG